rnacentral:lncRNA from 1 species
CAGAUAUGUCUUUUAUAUAGCAUAUAGUUGAAUUUUGUCUUUUAAAUAUAGUUUAAUAGUCCAUCUUUUAAUUAGCAUGUUUAAUAAUUACAUUUAAAUUUGAUUAUUUCAGAUCUACUUUUAUUUAAAUCUGCCAUCUUAUCUUCUUUGUAUUUGUCCUGUCUUUUAUUUCUUAUCUCCUCCUUUUGGAUUGAUAUUUUUAAUAUUUUCCAUUUCUCUUAUCCUUUAAAAUCUUAAAAUUUAUGUACUUUCAGUGUUAACUAAAGGCUUAUAAAUGCAUCCUUGGCUUAUCAAAGUUAAAUACUGUUAUUUUUAACCUGUUCUUGGGAAGUUUAAUAAUCUUAGAGCAUUUUUAAUGCCAUUUAUCACCACCCCCAUGUAAGUGCUAUUCUUUGAUGUUAAUUUUACACAAUCAAUAUUCAAAUAUAUUUACUCACAACUUAUUUUAUUUACUACUUCUUAUUCUUUUUUAUUUUUUAUACCCUUCAUCUGGUUAUAUCUUCUUUACUAAAAAUGCCCUUGGAUAUUCUUUUACAAUCAGUCUUCUGGCAAUGAGUUUUCUCAGUUUUUGUUUAUCCCACCAUGCCCCACUUCUUAAAAGUUCUGUUAUAUCCCAGUGGGAUCCAGUUGGGGACCAUGACUUAACACAUGAGCCUUUUCAGGACAUUCUAGAUCCAAACUAUAGAAGCACUAAUUUUCAGCAUUAGUUUUCUAGGGCUUUUGUAACACUAAACCAUAGACAGGGUAGCUUAAACAGCAACAAAAAAGUAUUUUCUUAUAGUAAAUCAAAAGUCAAGUAACUGGUCAAUUAGGUUCCUAGAGAGGGCUAUCGUCCUAAUUUGUCCACUGCCUUAUCACUGUGCUCUUACAUGGCAGAGAGAAGGCAUAAGCACACUGGGGUCUCUUCCUUUUCUUACCAGGGCACCAGCCCUAUUAGACUAGGGGCUUAAUCUUAAGACCUCAUUUAACUUUCUUACCUCUUCACAGGUCCUGUGUCCAAAUACAGUCAUAUUGGGGGGCUAGGACUUCAACACAUAAAUUUCAGAAUAUACAAAUAUUAACAUUUUGUUUAAAAAAAUGCUUUAAAUGUGUGUAUUUACUUUAAAUAUAUCAUCAUCUUCUGGCUUCCAUUGGUUCUGUUGAGAAGUCAACUCUGAGUGUAAUUGUAGCCCAUUUUGAGGUAAUUUUCCAUGUCCCCACCAUUUUACAGAUGAUCUUUUUGUUUGUGAUCAUCGUCAGUUUUACUAAGAUUUACCUCAGCAAGGACUUCUUUCUAUUAAACUUGUUGGACUCCAAAUGUUCCACUUUGGAAUGUCCCUAGCCAUGUUGCUGAAAUAUUUCUUCUGUCCCAUGUCUGUCCCUUCUUUUCCUGGAAAUACAAUUUGUUCACAGUUUAGACUUUCUCAUUCUGUUCUCUGUGCCUCUUAGCUUUGUUUCCAUAUUUUUAUCCUUUCCUCUGUGUUUCUUUGUAGUUUGAUUUGCAUUUCACUUUAGUAAUUCUCUCACUAUUUGCAUCUAAACUAGUGUUAAACCCAU